GGCAGUGUAGCAGAGCGGUUAAGGAGCAGGACUCGUAACCAGAAAGGUUGCCGGUUCGAUUCCUGCUGCUGUGC